rnacentral:lncRNA from 1 species
GUUUUCUUUAACGAACUUAAACUGUGAACUUUUCAAGGAGAAUGUGUGGAUUUAUAGACAGACAACGCAACUGAUAAAACUUUAAAGUAACCCGUGAACGGUACAACAUUUCGAACAGCGAUCUUGGUUACGAGAUAGUGAAAAUCAAGCAGGUGGCUUAACCUUUUGUUUCUGUUGACAAAGUUAUGGACUGAAGGAGCAUGGGGGGCUGUUAUUCAAGAAAAACGUAUCGUUUGUGGUCGAAAGGUAACUUUUGACAUUUCAAAAAGGCAACCAGGAAAAAUAAAAUUAUGUAAACAACAUGCAAGUUGUUUUAAAAAAAGGGCUUUGUUACAAGGAAAAAACCCACGCACUGGUGUCUUGCAUGUCUCGUCAUACUAACCAUUUAAGGGCUGAAAAAGAAAAAUAAUUCUGGUUUGCGGCAUAUGAUAUCGAACAAAAACUCUUGUCAAAUUCGUCGAAUUGAAGGUUACGAUUUCGUGUUAUUUUACACCUGGCUAGCCAACCGCAAGGUGUUUCCGUAACACGGAGUUUUGAACAGACGAGUUUUCACAACUAUGGAUGUGUUUGGUCAAGUAAGAUAAAAAAUGGUGAAUAAUAUGCAAGAACAGUUUUUUUUUUUAAUUCUUUAUUGUAUAUCAAAGAUUAUCUUUGUUUAAAUUCAGCCUUUUGGGUAAAUAUUAAGCUUGAAGUUCAUUUCUAUUAUAUAGGGAUAUUAAUGGGAUCCAUGGAAAUAAAUGGAAGCGAUCAACGCUUACACUCUUUUUUCCAAAGCAAAAUCAUCAUCCAUGCAGUUAAAAGGGUAGGUGGUGAAGAAAUUUCAGCACUCUCCAAGCUUCUAGCAGAUUCCACCGGCGCACAAGAUUGGAAGAGGGCGCGCGUUGGAGCUUCCACUGGAGCUUCCACCGUAAUGGCUGUUUGCGCUUCCGCUGCUGUAGUCACCACCACCAUAGCUUCCAGAUCCGAAAGCCUGGGCGGCUUGAGCUGCAGCGUAAGCCUUGUUCGCGGCCUGUUGAGCGGCGGCCAGGUCAGCAAGUGAAGCUUGUUGUUUGGCUGCCAAGUGCUGGGCGUUGGACUGAGCCUGAAAUAGUCCAAUUAAAUUGCAUUUCAUUAGUUUUUAAUCUUUACAUACUGACCAUGUAAGCAUUUGAAAUCUAUUGUACCUGGGAAGCCAUCUGGGAUUGGGCAUUCACAACAGCCUGAACAGCUUGAAGGGCUGAAGUGGCAGUAGCAGCGUGAGCACGAGCUGCUGCGGCCGCCUAAACAACACAACAUGUUAAGUUAGUACCAUCCGGUGACAUCUCAAGAAUCAAUCAAUUGUUCUACCCCGGCAAGAGCUUGAGCCUGUUGGAUAGCUUGGACUUGAGUCGCUUCUACAGCUUGAGCGGCCUGGGAAACUUGAGCGGCCAAUGAAGCUUCAGCCUGUGCGGCAGCCUGGGCGGCCUGAGCAGCUUGAGCGAUCUAGGUAGGCAAAUGGUUAUACGCGAUAAAACGUAAUUAAAAGCUCUUAUUAUGCUUUAGGUAUCUCAUACGGACCUGACCAGCCAUGGCUUGUUUGGCUGCUACAACAGCCUGUGCUUGUUGAGCAGCUUGAGUAGCCUGUGCGGCCAGCUGAGAAGUAGCUUGUUGAGCAGCUUGAGCAGCAGCGCCAGCCUGAGCGUUCUGAGCCGCUUUAGCCUGAUUGGCUGCCUGCUGGGCAAUAGCUGCAGCUCCACCUGCUCCACUUCCGUAUCCGCUUGAUCCGCCACCAUGGCUGGACCCACCAGAUGAAGAACCGUAUCCACCGCUAGCGAAACCACGUUUGUCCUGGAUAUCCAAACAUUAGGACGUUGCUCGCUGGAUGUGUGUUUAUUAAAACUUACCCGGGUGUAGCUAUCCUGCUCCUCGACGGCAUAUACAGCAACUGUUCAAGACAAACAAAAAAAUGGUUAGUAAACCAGGAGGCUUUUUUGAGAUUGAAAACGUUGAAAUGGAUGGGAGGACUGUUUACCGAUAACAGCAACGAAAACGACGAAGUAUUUCAUUUUCUUUAAAUUUCUAAUUAGAAGGAUUAUUGAGACUCAACAAUUGGACCUGUGGUGCCUUACUGCUCGAAUUAAGACUGAAAGCUAACUGAUGCUAAACUGGACUGUUGCUGCGCUAUUUAUUUCAUCAGAGCCAAUACGAAUGCGACGCAAAAUACGCCGAGUCAUUGACAGCUAUUGAUGUGUACAAACAAAAUUGAACGAGAGAGAUAGACCCGCUUGAAGAGUUCCCGAGUCUGAAAAUCUUAAAGCGACCCAGUAAAUGCAGCCAACGCCCACGGGUACCGGCCAAAACCAAUCUUCCGUACUAUUAAAGGAGGUUCUUUUCUAUUGUUGCGCAUGGCUAGUGACAUUUGCAACCUCCGCCUCCAUUUCCCGGAUCGGGUACCGAUUAAUUGGGACUUUUUGUGUGUUACGCGGUGGAGUUUCCCAUGCCUGAUUGCGUUCUACGUAUUUUUUCUAAUUUGAUUCUUAUGCUUGUCAUUUAUUCUUUUUCUUUAGCUUAGGCUAACUCAGCGCUGCGCGAAAGCGAUUUUUCUCUGUCGUGUGAGACGUACACCGAUAAACUUUAUCCGUCAACAAUCUGAUCAGUUAUCUUAGUAUCGUACUCCAUGCCACAGCUCGCAGCCAAAGGAUAGGAUAAAAUCCGUCGUUCUGAUUAAUGAAUUCAUCCGGAACGGAAUUUUGCAUAUUUUGUUUCAAAGGUAAGUUAGAAACUCAUUCAAAUUUACCUGGAAGUGAGAGUAUCAAAAAGUAAAAUUUGCCAAACGUCAUAAAAUGUUUUGAUUUGAAGAAAACGUUCGUUUUAUUUGGGAAAGCUAUAACAACAGAUUUGCAAAGGCCCUUUCCAGCAAUACAGCCAGUAAAUUUUUUUAAUUGCAUUGGGAUAAAGAGCGGUAUUUUUGGAACGUUGUACAAUACCGUAAAGAACAAAUAACUGUGACUGUAAAUAGCGACAAGCAGACAAAACGACAAAAAAAUACGGGCAAUUAGCGAAAAAGAACUGUGCCAUUCAUGCUAUUAUUUCGUAGCAGUUCAUUAUUAUUUGCGUUUACAAAACUUGGUUUGGCAACCACGUAACAGAGACGGUUGUGUGAGUCAAAGCCCAAUAGCUUGAAUCAUGGCCGAAAAACAAACAAAUCUAUUUGUAUCGUCGGUUAAGUCCCGUUUUGGACCGCUGUAAUUUAAUUCUCUCACGCAGUUCAUUUCUAGAACUAUAUAUGUGUCUGUUUGUAGGCUUUAUGUUUGUAAUUGUUAGUAGCUAUACUGUUAAAGAUGCGAGCAAUUUCAUGUGGAAACAUAUCGCCAUUGUUGAUCUGCUUACACCUUAUAUAGAUGUUAUGCAAUAAUCAGUGGCGCAGACUAAAUAGCUUUAAUUAGAACUGAAGAAUCUAUCAAUGGUUCUUCGGUGUCGAAAAUGCGAACAAAAAUGUCUAACUUUUUCGUUGAACAUUUGUUAUAUUUGUACAAAGUUGGCCGAGAGAGUCUACAGGAGGUCCAUGCGUUCGAGUCUUACGAACUCCACAUUUUUGCACUCAUUUUCUUAUCAUUUUGAAUUUGAACAAAUUAAUAUUAUCUGAACGAGAUCUUAAAAGUUACAAGACUUCUAUUUGAAACAUUUUAAAAGUCAAAAUAAGAUGAAUAUUUCAGUAAAAUUAGAGAAAUCGACAAAUGAGACAAAGAAUGUGUGUAUUCAUACUGCUCAAGAAGCCAUGACAACUUUCCCAACCCGUACGGUGUCCAGAGUUUUCAUUGCAUCGGGCACACCAUCCAGCAUAACGGUAUGGUGGAUGUUGGGCCUUUUAGUAAAUAAAAGAAUCAAAAAAGAAAUACAUUUCACAAUGUUAUUUCUGUUUUGUUUAAAAAAAAAAAAGUCCUAAAUACCUUAAAGAUCUAUCCGCCAGCUUUUCCAUUAUGUCCAAAAGAAUAUGCUGGUAGCGACCAGCCUGAGCAGGAGAGAGGACCCAGGAAUGUUCGUUCAAGUAUCCAACGCUACCACAUUUGAGCCACAUGAGACGUGAAUUGUUUGGAUCAAGCUAAGCAUGAAAAACAUGCCAAUCUGGUUAUUUAAACUGAAGAUGAAUUUCAGUUGUAACACGUUACAUGUAAAUCUGGUUGUGAUGUAAUCCAUCGACCGCCAACAGCCAAACAUGAGAUGACAUCAUAUUUUUGGGGUAGGAUUCUAUCAUUCUCCACGUACCCAUCCUAUUCCAAAUAAUUACAAUUGUGCCUGUAUUCGUUGUAGGCAUUUGUACUAACAAUAAUUUACCACAGGGUACUGACUGCAGCCAAGAUCGAGUAUUAAAUCAACCCCAUGACCAGCCGUUUCCUCUAGGCAGGAAGCCCUCAAUGCGCUGCUCCGAGUCGUCAUAUCAAUUAUGUGACCUGUAGUCAAUGAUCGUUACGGUCAUCAAUCAAUCAAGGUAGAUAUUGGAUUCACUGUACAUACCAAUGCUAGGUUGAAAACUCUGAAGGUAUAGAAGCUCUUCAGUUGAGGCUGCAGUAGUUAAAACUUUAACACCACCCAUCAUUGCAAGUUGGAUGGCAAUGCUGCCAGCUGGAGAGGCACCAUUCAAAACUAACACUAAUAAACAAAAACUGUAGAUGAAAGGAUGAUAAAUAUGAGAUUUAAGUAGCCAAUACCUGUUUCCCCUGAACACAUGCGUCCUAAAUAGUGAAGAGCAGUGUAAGCUUUGACGGCAUCUCCGAUACACCCGGCCGCUUCCACAUAACUAACACUUGUUGGCUUUUUCACUACAAGUAAGUCUGGAUUAAAGGAGGAAUGCUUAUAUAUGGCAACAAGUAGAAUCUUACCAACAUCAUAUUCAUUCAAAACAACAUAUUCUGAGCAACCAGAUUGGCCAUAAUCCAUGGGAAUAAUUCCAACAACUGUAUCUCCUGGCCUCAAUGUGGUAACUUCAGUACCACAGCUUUGAAUAAUCCCUGAAACUUCACAGCCAACAGGUAGUCUGGUCUUUAUAUUGUCUGUGCUAGGAGAGACUUCACGAAAGGCAUUGUAAGCAGGUCUAGUAAGGCCACAUGCCUUCACCUGAACUAAAACACUAUCCUGGCUGAUGACAGGUACUUCAGUCUAGGGGAAAAAAUAUUUGUGAGGGCUACAUAUUUAAAAUAUUUUUAUUAAAUUACCCCGCCAUCAAUGUAGAAUUCUCUAUGUAUUUGUAAAUGAUCCGUUUUAUGUAAUUUACCAGCAGCUGGCGGAUUCCCUAAUUUACCCUCUUCAAGGAAAACAGAUCGCAUUUUCCGUGGACUCACUGGUGGCAUUUCCCGAUGGACGGACCAAAACCAAACCCGCAAAGCAAGACCUCUUUUAUGUUUUCGGGGCAGUAAAGAAAGCUUAAGGCUGCAUUGUUUAUUCUAAUAGUCUCUGCAGCAAUUUGAAUUGAAAGGCACAAGUUUCACUAAAGUUGCAUUGCGUUUAGCUUCCGUAACAAAACCCUCAACAGGCAAAUACGAAACAAUACUAGAUUAGAUGAAAGAACGGCCUGCCCUAACUUUCUUGACAGCUUUGAAUAUCGUACGCGCAUCGUCCACUGCCAUCUAGCGAACAGCAGAGACAUUGAAUCACAAUUUUCAAAGUGACCUGGCCUGGUACAGUAAGCUAUGUUUGUAGGUAGUCUUGUUUGAAAAACGAAAGCCUCUCCAUUUCUGUUGAAAUGUCACGUGCAUGUUCGUCGUCCUUUUGUUAUCAAUGAAUAUUAUUAUCAUUCACCGAAACAACUUACUGAUACCAUUGUUUGUCAUCUAGCUACCUACGUACGCAUGUAUUAACUAGAUAACAGGUCCAACCUUCAAAUGCCAACAACCAGGUAAAACGUUUCUUACUUUUGCAACUUGUUUGUCAAGAAGAAACUGCGUAUAUGAACGACUGAAAUUCGAUAACUCUUCUGCGUAGUCAGGGAAGUGCGUAGCACAUCAGAAGUUAAAAGCUAAUGAUUAGGCCAAACCAUCAGGUACAAUGAGUUAAUGGACAAAAUCCUGGGGGGAGUAUUCCUAUUUCUGUUGUUACAGUUCAUGUAAAGUUAAAUAAAUUUCUUGAUUCUGAUUGCUACUAAUUAGGAGAACAACCUGCAUAGCAGGUAGUAGAUGUAGCAUAAACUAGUCAAUGAGUUUGGACACAAUGUCAGGUCGUAAAAGGAAACAAA